GUAAAUCUGCAACCAGGAGAGACGGGCAGUCAGGACCACAGCGGGUGACGAGGCCUCCAGAGAGGACCCCUGUUCUGCGCCCAGGCCUGGUCAGCGGGCAGUCUGCAAAUGGACGCCCCUCUGUGAUCGCAGGCCCUUUCCUUAAACACCGUACCACCCCCCGCCACCCCACCCUGUCUGCGCUCCUCUCCCCGCGGGACCCCAGCCUUCCGACUGCAUUUCGCCCACCCAUGUGGUGGUCCUGGCAGCACACAGCCCCCCUGAGCUGCAGGCUGGUGUGGCCGCGGGGUAGGGGGGCUCUGGCCUCCUCCCUCCACGGCCCCCCGGAUCCCUGUCCAGGCCCCAGGCUGUGGGAACGACCCGAGGGUGGAUGGAUGGCUCAGAAUCUACAUCUCCAGCCCGACCUCCCUCCGGACUCUCCAUGUGUGUAACCACCUGCCUCCUUGCCAUUCCCGGCAAUUUCUAACAGGCAUCUUCAGAUUUCUUUCGUUGACUGCAGUAAAAUCAUGUGACAGAAAACUGACCUCCUCAACCACCGCUGCGUGUACGGUUGGGGGUGCUCGGCGUCUUAGGAGGCUCUGCAGUGCGCUAGUUCUGACAGCUGGAACCCUGGCCCCGCUACACGCCCGCUCCAUGCCUGCUUCCUGCCCCCUGGCAACAACACGCUACUUUCUUUUUUCUGGCCAAGCUGCAUGGCUUACGAGACCUUAGUUCUGCAACAGGGCCCCGGCAGAGAGCGCCCAACCCUGGGGCCGCAGCGAGGUCCCUCCGCUUGCUACUGCGAUGACUGUGGCCAGCCCUGCUCGUUCCCUGGGGGGCGGUCGCACACGCCUUGUGCUCUUGUGAGCUGCUCGUUUCACUGAGCACAGCCCUCCUCAAGGCGCGUCCACACACGUGGCAGCAGGAAGUUCUCAGAGCCCCCCGCCCCCGCUUUCCGAGGCUGAGUAACGUUGCGCCGUCGGGAUGGGACCCCACUGGGCGCAUCAGUCAGCCCUCUGGACACUGGGCCCGCGUCCAUCUCAGGGCUGCCGUGAACACGGGGGUGCAGACCUCUCUGAGCCCCUGCUUUCAGUCCUCUGUCCCAGUUUCAGGCACGUCAGAAUGGCACUCGCAGUCCCCAGGGCCGCCUCCCCCAGCCUGCCAGCUUCCUGAUCUCAAGGGGAGACACUUGGGGGACUUCCCCAGUGGAGACGACACCUUUCCGUCCUGCUGUGCCCAACACGCAGACGUUCCCCGGGGAGUGAACGACCAGCUGAUGCCUCACCGGCGCCCGGGACGCGCCUCCCAAGGGCCGGCCCCCUGCCCUCCUUGGCCCGGGGCGGCGGCAGCUGCUCACCUUGAGCGUCUUGUCCUGGCUCUUGGCCGACUCCAUGAGCAGGUAGGCGCCCCUGCUGUCGCAGAGGCGGUCGGCGGAGCCCUGCAGCAGCAGGAAAGGCAACGUCAGCUUGGGCAGUGCCCGCUCCACCCGCGACACCGCGUUGAGCAGUUGGACGCCGAAGCAGACUUUGAGCCCUGCCCGGCAGACCAGGGGGUCCGCGUUGUAGAUGUCCACCUGCGGGGAGAGAGGCGUCUGUCAGACCCCAGGGAGCCACCCCCCACCCCCUGCACGGCCCCGAGCGCCUCAGAUUCCUGCCGGCUGGCCCUGCGCCCUCCCGUCCACGCCCGGGGCCCCCAGACGGGCUCAGCCUCAGCCUGCGCCCCUUCCCGUAAGCACGUCAUAGGCUGGCGUCGAUGAUUUCACGCGGCAAUACCAUGGUUGGCGCGGGUCUGCGUCUGAGUCUGUCUUCCCUGACACAGGGUCGCCGGAGCGAACGGACCUGCUGAGUCACUGGGGGUUGGUCAGUGCAGGGACGGGGACCCGGGGAGGGAUUGGGCUUCAUGCAGUGGCCGCCUGGCAUCCUGAGAGGCCCGUCCACUGCCCUGUGACCCAAGGCCACAGCCACCCCUCUGCCGGACACGCCAGGCAGCUGGGUCCACCCUCCUGAGCCAUCUGCAUUCCAGGACCCCCUCUGACACUGGCUCUGCCUGCAGCUCGGGAUCUGAGCCAGCCCUGGGGGGCGUCCCGGCCUGCCCCGCCCUUGUCUCUCUGCUCACCUCCGAGGGGACAGCAAGGGGCCUGCUUACUGGAGCAGAGACGGGCAGGUGCCCACAGGACUUCCCUGGGCACCCCCAGCUGCCUGGGCUCUCAGCGUGGUCACACGGCCGUGUCUGGUCAACAGGAAGCGAGAUGUGUCCAGCACCCAGGGCGGGAGCCCACCAGACCGCAUCCCGCCUGAGCCGCUUGGCGCCUGCCCACCGACCAGCCUGCCAAGCCCCUCAGGGACGCACCUCUGGGUUAAUUGCUCUGACAGCCUAAGUGGCUUCCUGCUCCAGGCCCCUUUCCCAUGCCUGGGGCAUGGAGGCUCUGUGUACAUGCUGAUUGGCCCUGUGUACAGGCCGACCCGUCCUGUGUACACGCCGACCCCAUCAUGUGUACACGCCGACCAGCCCUGUGUACACGCCAACCCAUCCUGUGUACACGCUGAUCCCAUCAUGUGUACACGCCGACUGGCCCUGUGUACACACUGACGGGUCGAGACCUGGGUGUCAGGGGAGGGCAGGUCCUGAGGCCAGCCACCACCAGGCAGGCGGAGGGGGCGGCCAGGAGGGCAGGGCAGACGCCCCACCCCCACACAGGGCAACAGGCUCAGAGGACCAACCCUCACCUCAGGUAACCAGCCCGCCCAAUCCUAGCCGCCUCUGCUUUCUGAGGUCUUAAGACCUAAACCCACCAAAGGUUUGGUGUCCUGCAUCCCAGGCAUGAGGCGGACGGCGACCUCCCCACCAAGGCCAGGCCCGCAGCACCUGAGCAGCUGGCAUCCACCCAAAACCCCAGAGAGGCCUUCAUGGGGGACCACGUUUCCGUGACCCUCUUCCAGUGAUCAUCAGAGUGGUCAGGCCUCGAGGGGGGCUACGAAGCAGCAACACGGGGGUCUCUGAGGGGUCAGCCCAACCCGCGCACACAGGCGUCCUGGCUGCCGUAACCCUGUGGUCCUGCAGGAGGGGACGUGGGCAGAGGCACGUGGACCCUGCCUGACUUCUCAGAAAGUGAAGGUCGCUCAGUCGUGUCCCACUCUUUGCAACCCCAUGGACCAUACAGCCCAUGGAAUUCUCCAGGGACCUUCCAGACCCAGGGAUCGAACCUGCAUCUGCUGUACGGGCAGCUGGAUUCUUCACCACGAAGCCGGACGUAGGUUCAGGAUGCGGAACACAUGUGAACCCAUGGCUGAUUCAUGUCAAUGUAUGGCAAAAACCACUACAAUAUUGUAAUUAGCCUCCAACUAAUAAAAAUAAUUGGAAAAAAAACAUAGGUUCAAAUCCUUAUGGAACAGCUGUGAGUCGAGUCCCUGGGGAAGGGACUCGCCCUCU